GUUGUUUCUUGAAAAGUUUCAGGGAGAUUGACCUAGCCCUCAUAAUGGUGAAAAUGUAGACUGUUCAUUGGUUUAGGCCAGAGCCUUUUAACCCCCACCCUUCCGAUUCGUCUGUUUAUUUCGUUUUAUUUCUUACAUGGCUCGAACAAGACAAGGUGGUUUGAAUGUAGGAAACCAAGUCAGAAUAUUAUUCCCAUGAUAGAAAACAUGUUUGAAGAGCGCAAUUUAAUGAAUUCCCCCAAAUUCUCAGCGGUUUCUGCUGUAGUGAAUGUUCAUAGAGCGAGUCUGUUAAAGUAUUCGAACCCCGGCCGGAUAAGUUUGCAAGUGGGGGCGGCAGCCAAAGCCAGAAUGGGUCAUCAGAAUUGCAUGACCCGUGGCUGCGUGGUAUACAAUCCCAAGAUACUUCAGAAAAGAAAUGAAUAUAGCAGUAUUUUUGUUUUUCAAGGUUACAACAAAAUGAGCCAUAACACUCGUCGUCUGUUGGUUACCGUGAUAAAAACUCGGCUGUGGCCAUGGAGAUACGGCUGAUGCACUAGACGUGACAUGACCGAAGAAAUGUUGAAAAUGCAGAAGCACUCUUUCGCUUUGUCAACCUAAUAAUUCAUCUAAAUUCGCAUUUAUCAUGAUCAUGCGCGCAUCACAAGUACAAAACACCACUAGUAACACUAUCCUUGAUUUAAGACAUAUGGGUCUAUUUCUAAACAGUAUAUUCGUCACCCAUUAAUAAUUUAGUGGGCAUAUAGGAGCUAAAUUAAUAUUCUAGUCAUGUUAAUAAUAAAUAACGAACAUUUUAUAUGGAUGGUAAUUUUGGUGCAUUCUAAAGUAUAACCAGGGAGCACUAUCGUCUGGUAGGCACUCAAACUCGACAAAAUAAUAGGCCUACUUUUUACCAUGCAAUUGGGAUCGUAGAAAACAGAGAAUAAUAAUACAUUUUGACCUAUAUGCCUAUUUGGUUUACAUCUUAAUUACGUCACAGAUGUUAAAUAGAGCGGAAUCAUUGGAAUAGGCAUAAGGGGUCAUAAUCAUGAUGCUCUGCGUUUUAUUCAGGAUGCCAAGAACACGAAGAUACCAAACGCCGAGAAAACAUAUAUAUGGCUGUUCAUUGUGCUACAUUCCACUCUGGAGGUAGAUCGAAGCUCUGCAAACCAGGUUGAAUUUAUUCGAUGAGAAAAGGGCGUGGCCGACGAGGGAAAACGAGAGAGCCCAACCAACGCACUAUGCACACUAUCGUACAUGUAUACCAUCAUUCCGCACUCUCUCCCGCGCUCGUUCACGUUCCGCGAACUCAAAGGUAAAUAAUUAUUUUCCAUUCAUUCAUUGAUUUGCAAGCACCAAUCUCAUACCGUCCACGCGUUAUCUCGUGUAUUGUCUCGCAUAUAGCGGUGUUUUUACAUCAUCUCCAUCAUCACCAUGCCCGAUCUAGGAGACAUCAAGCCUAAAGGGCCAAGCAAAUGCAAGCUAUGCUUUCUAAGAUGUUGCUUCUGCUGUGUUCCUAGACCAUCGGUUCCAGGAAAGAAAAAGAAAUGCGGGUGCUGCUGAUAGGAGUGAGAUGUACCAAUGUAUAUAAAGGUGAUAUAGGCGUAUAAUAUUACAACGGGAUUACACAUGAGCUAAUCUCUCACACAGGAACCAUCAUCGCAACAUAUGCAUGGCUUGGCAAACUUGUGAUUCACACCAAGUCAUCAGCAUUCAUCCACCCUCGGACCUGGGGCGAUGUGCCUAGAUAUUCUAAACAGCAAAUUGCGAUGUUAUGGGUUGUAAUGUAAAAGAAAGUUCAUGUAUGUUAUGUAAAAGGGCCUAUAUUGUAUUGAUAAUGCCUUAUGAAAUAUUUUGGGCAUGGUCGAUUGUGUGAAAUCCUCUGGAUGCAUUUCUAAACAUUUCUAAGUAAAAAUAGUAUUUUGUUAUCCUAAAACUCAAAAGAAUGAUGUAGACAUAUUUCUUCGUUCAAAAAAUUCCCCUUUUUCCGAACUAUCAAGAUAAUAGUCUGCAAAAUUCAGGGAGGCGUCAGUGUACGAAGGGGGGAUGACGAUGAAUUAGUCGCGAUAUUGUUUAGUCCCAAUCAAGUCGAUUUUUAUCCCCAUUUUAUUCUCUAUGCAGGCUUGUAAAAUCAAAGGGGUGCCCCUACCCCCUUCCUAGCCUUUCCGCUGAAUCGCGGAAACAGUGAGUGAAAAUGUUAUACCCAGGAAGGUACCAGUUUGCCAAAGUUUAAUUAAUAAUUGACUGUGCGGUUGUGAAUCCCAUCCAAGUUUUAGACUACUUGUAAUCCAUCGGUUUGUUAUAGCUAAUUUGUUUGGCAGCAACCGUUGUGAAUGAUCUGUAAAGGAGAUCACAAAGAUCGAGAGACACUUUGAGGGGCACCGGUUCGAGAUCGAACCUUGAAAUUUAGGGGUCGUGUGUGAUGGUGGGAUACUCUGGUCGUUCACUUUGACAUCCGCUCGAUUAAUAAUAGAAAACAUUGACGUUGUGUUAUGUAAAAACGAUAAUGUUAAUACCAAUCAUCUCAGACCAUUGAAAUUGUAUUUCAUCGCGGAUUUUGCUUUGCUGAUGACAAUUACAGAUGAACCUCUGCAUGCCGAGGAAGGCUUGCAAUACCCUGCAAUACUCACACAUAAAAUUUCGGGCGUAAUCAUAUUUGAUUUGUUGUUGAUUUUCUCACAUUGAUAGAAUACGCUGCAUUAAUAAAAAGUAAAGAGUGGUAUAAAUUCACUUUUGCUUAUGAACCCCGAGUAAAUAUCCCUAUAUAAGUCACUCACACUUUACUCCCUUCAGUGUUAAAAAUAGCCCCCAAAAUAGGAUUUCACAAGUCGUGCACCAUUCGGUUUCCAUUGAUUGUUUUCAUCAAGGCUCAUUCCAAUCGACAAUCUGACCUUGUCCUUGUUAGCAAUAGACAACGUGGCUAUAUAAGUUCCGGAAAUAUGGGAGGCCCUUUGAACUUUUGGAUGCGAGACUAUUUCUGCUACCAAUUUCAAAUACGUAUUGUACACAUCGAGGCACAAUUUUAUGCGUUUCUUAUUGAUCAACGCAAUACUUGCAAAAAAAAUGUCCAACUUUUAGCUAGAAAACGGGUAUUUUAUUUGUAUGUGUAACUGUACUUUAGAUUACUCUAAAGCGACUUAUUAUAAAGUGACUUUCAUUCCUUAAUCAAUUGCCUUGUACUUUGUAUGUUAUCUCUGAAAACUUAUUUUUAUAAUUUUGUUUACCCUAAAGAAAAACAUAUCUUAGUAAGGUAAUUCCUUGUUUACCACUAUAUUCACACCCACCUGCGAGAUAUUUUUUAUUUACCCAUCACCGUUAUUGUCAUUAUAUGAUUACGAUCGAUAUUAUUAUGGCAUUCAUUAACGUUAUUCGUUUUGUCAUUAUUCUGUUAUUUUUACUACUACUUGUACUUUAUAUUAACAUUGUAGUUUCAUGAAUGUCAUUGAUAUCAUUUGACUCUCAGUGAAAUAUUAUUUUAUAUAGUUUAGCCUCACUAUUCAAAUAAAGUGCUCGAUUGUGGGCCGGAUUCAGACUGUA